AGAGUUUGAUCAUGGCUCAGGAUGAACGCUGGCGGUAUGCCUAACACAUGCAAGUCGUACGAGAGUUUUUAACUCAAGUGGCGGACGGGUGAGUAACACGUGAGAAUUUGCCUUUAGGAGGGGGAUAACAGAGUGAAAACGCUGCUAAUACCCCAUAUGCUUUCGAGUGAAAUGGAUUUAUUCGCCUAAAGAGAAGCUCGCGGCUGAUUAGCUUGUUGGUAAGGUAAUGGCUUACCAAGGCGACGAUCAGUAUCUGGUUUGAGAGGACGAUCAGACACACUGGAACUGAGACACGGUCCAGACUCCUACGGGAGGCAGCAGUGGGGAAUUUUCCGCAAUGGGCGAAAGCCUGACGGAGCAAUACCGCGUGAGGGAUGACGGCCUAUGGGUUGUAAACCUCUUUUCUCAGGGAGGAAAUCAAUGACGUUACCUGAGGAAUAAGCAUCGGCUAACUCCGUGCCAGCAGCCGCGGUAAGACGGAGGAUGCAAGUGUUAUCCGGAAUCACUGGGCGUAAAGCGUCUGUAGGUGGCUUAACAAGUCAACUGUUAAAUCUUGAAGCUCAACUUCGAAAUCGCAGUCGAAACUGUUAGGCUAGAGUAUAGUAGGGGUAAAGGGAAUUUCCAGUGGAGCGGUGAAAUGCGUAGAGAUUGGAAAGAACACCGAUGGCGAAGGCACUUUACUGGGCUAUUACUGACACUCAGAGACGAAAGCUAGGGUAGCAAAUGGGAUUAGAUACCCCAGUAGUCCUAGCCGUAAACAAUGGAUACUAGAUGUUGGGCAGAUCGACCUGUUCAGUAUUAAAGCUAACGCGUUAAGUAUCCCGCCUGGGAAGUAUGCGCGCAAGCGUGAAACUCAAAGGAAUUGACGGGGGCCCGCACAAGCGGUGGAGCAUGUGGUUUAAUUCGAUGCAACGCGAAGAACCUUACCAGGGUUUGACAUGAUACGAAUUUUUUUGAAAGAAAAAAAUGCCGUUUGGAACGUAUACACAGGUGGUGCAUGGCUGUCCUCACCCCCUGUCCUGAAAAAUUUGGGUUAAUUCCCCCACCAACGGGAACCCUUAAUU
rnacentral:rRNA from 1 species